CAGAAGGCUACUGUGGAGGCUGCGGCUGGAUUCAAGUAAUCCAGGAUAGGCUGUGUCCGUCCAUGAGGCCUGUUCUUGAUUACUUGUUUCUGGAGGCAGCGCAUGGUCUGCCCUCAAUGA
rnacentral:pre_miRNA from 7 species